ensembl:lncRNA novel transcript
GUGGUUUCUUCUUCUCUGCAAUCCCUCUUGCACUGGCCAAUCGGAUCAUUCUCCAACACAGUUCUUACAGUGGCUACUACAUCAGGUGCACUCUCUUCUUCCUGGCAGGAAUAUUUUAGAAGGCUUUACCAAGAAUGUGGAAUUACACUAUGGCUUUAAGAAUUUGGCCAGAAAGAGGUCAGAGGAGGACAGAGCAAACUUCAGAAAUAGACAAGGUCUUACUCUGCUACCCAAGCUGGAGUGCAAUGGUAUGAUCAUAGCUUACUACAGCAUUGAACUUCUGGAUUCAAGAGAUUCCCCCACGUUGGCCACCCAAGUAGCUGGAACUACAGGCAUGUACCAUCACACCCAGCUUAUAUAUGUAUAUAAUUAUUUUUGGACAUACAGGAUCUCACUACAUUGCCCAAGCUGCUCUCAAACUCCUGGCCUCAAGAUGAUCCUUCUGCUUCUGCCUCUCAAAGUGCUGGGAUUAUAGGCAUAAACCACCAUGCUCAGUCCAAUGUUUUUAAUAUCAGAUACUCUUUAGUAUCUUUAAGAUUUUAUACACUGUGUAUGCAUUAGUUAAUUAUUAAAUUUUAAAGAAGUAAAUUAUAUGGAUAAAAGUAUAUCCACAUAUACCAAUUAAGAGACAAAGAUUAGCAGAACAUAUUAAAAACAUGACUCAAUUACCUGCUGUCUACAAGGAACUUACUUCAAAUAUUUGAAAUAAAUAUAACAAGUAAAUGGAUAGAAAAA